rnacentral:rRNA from 1 species
UACCAGCCCCCUGAGUGGUAGGGAUGAUUAUUUGGCCUAAAGCGUCCGUAGCCGGCUUAGCAAGUCUUUCGUGAAAUCCAGUGACUUCAUCAUUGGGCGUGCGAGAGAUACUACUAGGCUUGAGGACGGGAGAGGUCGACGGUAUUUCGGGGGGUAGGGGUAAAAUCCUAUAAUCCUCGGAGGACCACCAGUGGCGAAGGCGGUCGACUAGAACGUGCCUGACGGUGAUGGACGAAAGCUGGGGGGAGCAAACCGGAUUAGACACCCGGGUAGUCCCAGCUGUAAACGAUGCGGGCUAGGUGUUGGGGCAGCUACGAGCUGCUCCAGUGCCGCAGAGAAGUCAUUAAGCCCGCCGCCUGGGAAGUACGGUCGCAAGACUGAAACUUAAAGGAAUUGGCGGGGAGCACCACAAGGGGUGAAGCCUGCGGUUC